UAGGGAAUCUUCCGCAAUGGACGCAAGUCUGACGGAGCAACGCCGCGUGAGUGAAGAAGGAUUUCGGUUCGUAAAACUCUGUUGUUAGAGAAGAACAGCGCAUAGAGUAACUGUUAUGCGUGUGACGGUAUCUAACCAGAAAGCCACGGCUAACUACGUACCAGCAGCCGCGGUAAUACGUAGGUGGCAAGCGUUGUCCGGAUUUAUUGGGCGUAAAGCGAGCGCAGGCGGUCAAUUAAGUCUGAUGUGAAAGCCCCCGGCUCAACCGGGGAGGGUCAUUGGAAACUGGUUGACUUGAGUGCAGAAGAGGAGAGUGGAAUUCCAUGUGUAGCGGUGAAAUGCGUAGAUAUAUGGAGGAACACCAGUGGCGAAGGCGACUCUCUGGUCUGUAACUGACGCUGAGGCUCGAAAGCGUGGGUAGCAAACAGG
rnacentral:rRNA from 1 species